GAUGAACGCUGGCGGCGUGCCUAAUACAUGCAAGUCGAGCGAACAGACGAGGAGCUUGCUCCUCUGACGUUAGCGGCGGACUGGUGAGUAACACGUGGAUAACCUACCUCUAAGACUGGGAUAACUUCGGGAACCCGGAGCUAAUACCGGAUAAUAUAUUGAACCGCAUGGUUCACUAGUGAAAACGGUUUUUCUGUCACCUUUAGCUGGGUCCGCGCCCCAUUAGCCAGUUGGUAAGGUAACGGCUUACCAAGGCAACGAGGCGUAGCCGACCUGAGAGGGUGAUAGGCCACACUGGAACUGAGACACGGUCCAGACUCCUACGGGAGGCAGCAGUAGGGAAUCAUCCGAAAUGGGCGAAAGCCUGACGGAGCAACGCCGCGUGAGUAAUGAAGGUCUACGGAUCGUAAAACUCUGUUAUUAGGGAAGAACAAAUGUGUAAGUAACUAUGCACGUCUGGACGGUACAUAAUCAGAAAGACAAGGCUAACUAAGUG
rnacentral:rRNA from 1 species